AAAACCCUUGAAUGAGUAGGUGUGUCCAAAUGUUUGACUGGUACUGUAUAUGUAAUCUAUAUACACUGCAAAUACGCAAAGCACUGUUUAUAGGCUGUAAAGAGACAGUUACUGGAAGGACAUGAAAGGAAAGGCAGAGUCGGAGUCAGGAAACAACAGUCAGUGGUGCAAGACAAGACAAGCUACUAACAGGAAAUGUCAUUUUCAGAGGGGAUGGUCAGAAGGAGGGAUAGUUGAAGCAGGAAGCCAAGUCCCCGACUGAGAGUGUUAAAGCGGACCUGAACGACUGCCCCAGAGACUGGCUGUUACAUCCCUUUUGACUGCUCAGACAACAGCAAGGAGGAGACAGACAUCCACCUGCCAGCACUGCACCAUCAUCCUCCCAUGGCUCAGACCUAACCUAACAAUUAUCGAUGUGGAUCGAUGCAAUUCACCCAGAUCAUGGUCUAAUGUGAAAGCCCUUUACUGCAUUACAAGAGCACUCCUCUUUGCUUUCAUGCUGCAUUUAGUAUCUGUAGCCUAUGUGGUUGGCACUGCAAUUGUUAUGCAUGAAGCUACUGUACACAAUUUCCUGUUUCAGUGAGUUGGUUUGGCUGCUGGUUUGUAAAUGUUAAUGAUGAUGUAUCCCAAGCCUUUCAAAUCACUGACAUUGGACCUGUGAAAUCAUCGCAGUAGGCUAGGCUUUGUUUUUAGCACAAUGUGCAAUGUCAACUUUACUGUGUGUGGGUGUACAGUACAAGAGGUGCCUGUGGAAAUGGGAGAGAUUAAAUACAGGCAGGUCACCCAUGAUACAAGUCAGUAUUCAAUGUCCAUACAUGUCUGAGGAGGUCGAGGGGGGGGGACGUUGAAACUGGCUCUAGGGGCAACAGAAUGUGCUGUUAUCUUUAAGUGGGUAUUGUGGACAGAGAUGGCAGAUGUGCAUAAGCAUCUGCCUGUGACUCCAAAGGGUGCAUGUUUGAAUCCAGCAAUAGAAAGUUGUUUUUGAUAUUUUGCUUUAAGCCUAUCCCUAACCUUAACCCUUACCUUAACCAUUUGGCGUUAAUGCCUAACCUUAAUUCUUCUGAGUUAAUAACUAAAACUUAACCUUGGAAUUAUACAGAGAAGUAACUAAACACUUUGACGUUUGAUGUUUGGAAUAACUUCAAUAUUUGAUGUUUAAGAAACAUGGAUGAACGUCUAAUUCUGAUGUGCGACUGCGAGAGCUUGUUGAUUAAAUGAGGGUUUAAAGGAUUUUUAUACUGUAUCUUACAGUUUUGAUUUAUGGUAUUAUUUAACAUUUUGUUAAAGUGCUUUGAGAGUUAGUAGCAUACUGUCCGUUACUUGAAUGCUCUCCUUCAUUAAAGCAAUUGUUACACCAAUGUAUUAUUAAAAUGCCUAUGAAACAUU